CGGGGACGGUUGCUUAAACGUAGUUAGAUCAAGGAGAAUGGAGAGCACAACGAAAAAUUAGAGGUCUGAUCUUUCGUUGAUUAAUUUUCUCUUAUUUUGGUAUUCAAGUUGAAGUCUUUCAUGAAUAGAACCAAACAUCGUACAUUGCUGAACUGGGACUAGCCAAAGAACAGAAAAUCGCACAGAUUGAUCGGCAACUAUUGGAGUGGAGACUUACAGAGAGCGUAAAAACGCUGAUACCUAUGUAAGAUUUUGACCUCGCAGUAAACAUCAAAACCCAGCCCUAUCCACUGUGCUAAGGGAGUGGCGGUGAUUCAAAGGUAAAUUUUUUUCGUUUCUCGCAUAUAGACCUAUUAAAGAAUUUGGUUUUGAAUUGUAGAGCAGAAUCUUAUUUUUAUUUGAUAUUCGUGAAGUUACAUUCGUUUCAAAGAUUCAAGAAAUUGAUGUUUUCCUCAUCAUUAUCAGUCUCUACAGUUUCACGAUAUAAUAAAUAGUGAUUCAAGAAGUAUUUAGUACCCUAAAGUAUAAAGUACCCUAACUCAAAGCAAAAGUAGAAUCCUGCGCAACCACUCAAUUCAUUGAAAAUUUUCAUCAAUUUUUUAGAGAAUGUUUUUUUUAAAAAAAAACACAAAGUUCAAAAUGAAAUAGAAAAUUUAAAAAUCCAAAAAUGUGGUGAUUUUAGGGGUGAUGCCGCCCUCUGGCGUGUCAGCAAAUUUCAGAUUAAAAUUCAGUGCCCAGAAAUACAUAUAAACCCGAUGAGAAUAGUUAUUUGUGCAACUAGUGCGCAAAGUGACAGUUUGCUG